rnacentral:lncRNA from 1 species
GGUAUCCAUAGCACUACUAUAUUAUCAAGGUAUUUCCAUCAGCACUACUAUAUUAUCAAGGUAUACAUCAGCACUACUAUAUUAUCAAGGUAUACAUCAGCACUACUAUAUUAUCAAGGUAUAUAUCAGCUGUAUAUUAUCAAGGUAUAUAACAGCUGUAUAUUAUCAAGGUAUAUAACAAAACUACGAUAUUAUCAAGACAUCCGUACCGUGGGGACCAGACUGCUGCGUGUUUCCUGUCGGGCCCUGGGGUCUGAAGGGACUAUGACCAAGACAGGAGACUCUGACAGUACUGCUACUUCCGUUGCUGUCCUCAACACCCUGCCCUGGGAACGCACCGAGGUUCUCCCGCUGACAGGGGGCGCUCCUGACCAUCAUCAACCAUGCCUAGCUCUGGUGACAGUCCCCAGUGUUGGUGUAGUUUCUGUCCGUGAUGCCACUGCUACCAAACCUGUCCCUCUGGUCUCCGUCAAGGUUCAGGCUGAUGGUACUGUCCUCAUGGAGAAUGGGAUAUUACGUGCUGUUGUUAAUAAGGAUGGAUGCCUGGCUUCCUUGUACCUGGUCGAGACUAACAGGUAAAAUCCCGUCCUCAGAAGGCGCGUUCACACUGCACCUCAGCCCUGUGGCUAAGAGCCUCCUCAGCCCUGUGGCUAAGAGCCUCCUCAGCCCUGUGGCUAAGAGCCUCCUCAGCCCUGUGGCUAAGAGCCUCCUCAGCCCUGUGUCUAAGAGCCUCCUCAGCCCUGUGUCUAAGAGCCUCCUCAGCCCUGUGGCUAAG